AACGAACGCUGGCGGCAUGCCUAACACAUGCAAGUCGAGCGAGGACUUCUGUCCUAGCGGCCGACGGGUGCGUAACGCGAGGGAACUUGCCCUUUGCUUCGGAAUAGCUCUGGGAAACUGGCAGUAAUACCGGAUGAGUCCUUUGGGGGAAUGAUUUAUCUGCGAAGGAUCGGCGCGCGUUGGAUUAGGUAGUUGGUGGGGUAAUGGCCUACCAAGCCGGCGAUCCAUAGCUGGUUUGAGAGGAUGAUCAGACACACUGGGACUGAGACACGGCUGAGACUCCUGCGGAGGGCAGCAAUGGGGAAUCUGAGACAAUGGGGGAGACCCUGAUCUAGCCGGGCCGCGUGAGCGUUGAAGGCCUUAGGGUUGUAAAGCUCUUUGAGCUGGGAAGAUAGUGACGGUACCAGCAGAAGAAGCCCCGGCUAACUCCGUG
rnacentral:rRNA from 1 species